AAAAAAUUAAGCAAUAUUUUCCCAUUUAUAUAAUCAGUAUUACAAUUAACUAAGAGAAUUUGAUAACUAAAUUAUGAACUUUCAACAAUAAAAUUUUAACAAACAACAAGAACAAAUUAAAUACAGCAAACUUGACUUCUCUCUUUAUUGUUCCAGUUUGAAGGCAUGUGUGUGAACUUAUGUCUAGUAAUGGCCUUACCCUGCUUACCCCAGCACAAAAUAUCUAUUUAUCAAUCCUUUUUACCAGCAAACAAGAAAACUGAAGAAAUUUUAGGUUGGAUGAAUGGUAAAUAAUAUGUAGGCAUUACAAAUUUAACUAUCCCAAGUAAAAUGAAAUAUACUUUUUUGAGCCAUUGCAAGGUUUUUUGAUAAUAUCAAUAAUACUAGAUGUAUUGGUCAGCCACCCCUGUUUGAAGGAGUAGUCAACAAUGGCAAAGGGGUAGUUUAACCUCUUAUCUUGCUAACUGGCCAACAUUUAUUACACAUUUAACUUGACCAAUAUAUAUUAUAUUAAC
rnacentral:lncRNA from 1 species